CGGCGGACGGGUGAGUAACGCGUGGGUAACCUGCCUCAUACAGGGGGAUAACAGUUAGAAAUGACUGCUAAUACCGCAUAAGCACACAGUACCGCAUGGUACAGAGUGAAAAACUCCGGUGGUAUGAGAUGGACCCGCGUCUGACUAGCCAGUUGGCGGGGUAACGGCCCACCAAAGCGACGAUCGGUAGCCGGACUGAGAGGUUGAACGGCCACAUUGGGACUGAGACACGGCCCAG
rnacentral:rRNA from 1 species